rnacentral:ncRNA from 1 species
CAAAGGCUUGGUCCUGACUUUGCUAUCAACUCUAGCUAGACUUACACAUGCAAGUAUCCGCGCCCCUGUGAGGAUGCCCUAAUAAUCCCCUGCCCGGGGACAAGGAGCGGGUAUCAGGCACAACCCUACUUAGCCCACGACGCCUUGCAUCGCCACACCCCCAAGGGAACUCAGCAGUGAUAAAUAUUAAGCCAUAAGUGAAAACUUGACUUAGUUAAAGCUAACAGAGCCGGUUAAUUUCGUGCCAGCCACCGCGGUUAUACGAGAGGCCCAAGUUGAUAGCCACCGGCGUAAAGCGUGGUUUAAGUAAGACAGUCUAAUAAAGCCGAAGACCCUCAGAGCAGUUAUACGCAUUAGAGAGGCAGGAAGCCCAACAACGAAAGUGGCUUUAAACUUCUUGACCCCACGAAAGCUAUGAUACAAACUGGGAUCAGAUACCCCACUAUGCUUAGCCCUAAACAUUGGCAGCACACCACAUAUGCUGCCCGCCUGGGAAGUAAGAGCACCAGCUUGAAACCCAAAGGACUUGGCGGUGCUUUAGAUCCCCCUAGAGGAGCCUGUUCUAGAACCGAUAAUCCCCGUUCAACCUCACCUUUUCUUGUUCCCCCCGCCUAUAUACCGCCGUCGCAAGCUUACCCCCUGAGGGCUCAAUAGUAAUCAUAAUUGGCACUGCCCAGAACGUCAGGUCGAGGUGUAGCGUAUGGAAAGGGAAGAAAUGGGCUACAUUCCCUAACCAGGGAAUACGAAUGAUGCCCUGAAAAAAUGCAUCUGAAGGAGGAUUUAGUAGUAAGCAGGAAAUAGAGCGUCCUGCUGAAACCGGCCCUGAAGCGCGCACAUACCGCCCGUCACUCUCCCCAAGCACUCGAACUUUUUAGCUAAAACAUCAGACCAGCAAAGGGGAGGCAAGUCGUAACAUGGUAAGUGUACUGGAAGGUGUACUUGGUAAAA